rnacentral:sRNA from 1 species
GGAGAAGAUAUCCCAGAAGCUCCUGAGAGACUGAUGACAGACACCAUUAAUGAACCAAUCUUGCUGUGUCGAUUUCCUGUGGAGAUCAAGUCCUUCUACAUGCAGCGAUGUCCUGAGGAUUCCCGUCUUACUGAAUCUGUCAGUUUCUGUUUCAAAGAGUAUUAAUAAUUUUGCUUUUUAAGGGGGUGGGGACUGUCAUCUGGAAUCAGGUACAGCUCAUGCCAAAUAUUUCAUUCUCUAUCUAGAAUGACAAUAUUUAAAGACGUUGGGUUUUUUCACCCUCCCCUGAUUGAAGUUGACAUGCUUUGUUAAAUUAGAGAAAUGUAAAUAUUUGAAUAUUACAUGAUCAUAGUGGCUCCUUUAGCCCUUGGAGCUUAAUUGUAAUUUUCAUUUAAACUCUAGGGCAGUGCUGUGGCUGAUCGCUUGAUAGUAAUUGUGUAUCUUCUUUCACUUGUAUUUAAAGGUCGACGUGUUGAUGCCCAAUGUUGGUGAGAUUGUGGGAGGCUCAAUGCGUAUCUUCAAUAGUGAAGAAAUACUGGCAGGUUAUAAAAGGGAAGGGAUUGACCCCACUCCCUAUUACUGGUAUACGGAUCAGAGAAAAUACGGUACAUGUCCCCAUGGAGGAUAUGGCUUGGGCUUGGAACGAUUCUUAACGUGGAUUCUGAAUAGGUAUCACAUCCGAGACGUGUGCUUAUACCCUCGAUUUGUCCAGCGCUGCACGCCAUAACCAUUUUCUCCAGAAGCGUGGAGGAAAGAUUAUGAAAGGAACAGGCUCUUUAAAAAAGAAAACAAAGAGCCAGAAUCUUCCUUUUUUUGUUUCAUUGGGGUUUUCUCUUUCUGUUUUUCUUUCUACUACCAUAAAAACUAUCUCAAAUCACCUGAACAUCGAGUGAUACUAAGGUUGUCAUCUUAAGAAAAAAUAUCCAUUUUUUUCUUAAGUUCGGGGAACAAAGUUCGGGGAAAAUACCUGGCAUGAAACUGUAGUUAGGGAUACAUUUCAGCAUUUUACUCACUUUAUCCAAGUUAUUCAUUUUAUU